rnacentral:rRNA from 1 species
AUAAACGCUGGCGGCGUGCAUGAGACAUGCAAGUCGAACGGGCUUCUCGGGCUUGCUCGAGAAGCUAGUGGCGGACGGCUGAGUAACGCGUGGGUGACCUACCCCGAAGUGGGGAAUAACUGCCCGAAAGGGUGGCUAAUACCGCAUGUGAUCGUUCGUUCAAUCGAUCGAUCAAAGCCGAAAGGCGCUUCGGGAGGGGCCUGCGUCCGAUUAGCUCGUUGGUGGGGUAAUGGCUCACCAAGGCGACGAUCGGUAGGUGGUCUGAGAGGACGAUCACCCAGACUGGGACUGAGACACGGCCCAGACUCCUACGGGAGGCAGCAGUCGGGAAUUUUGCUCAAUGGGCGCAAGCCUGAAGCAGCAACGCCGCGUGAGGGAUGAAGGCCUUCGGGUUGUAAACCUCUUUUGUCAGGGACGAUAAUGACGGUACCUGGCGAAUAAGCCACGGCUAACUACGU